rnacentral:rRNA from 1 species
CCCAGUGGCGGACGGGUGAGUAACGCGUGGGUAACCUGCCCUGUACAGGGGGACAACAGCCGGAAACGGCUGCUAAUACCGCAUAAGCCCGCGGCGCCGCAUGGCGCUGCGGGGAAAACUCCGGUGGUACAGGAUGGGCCCGCGUCUGAUUAGCUAGUUGGCGGGGUAACGGCCCACCAAGGCAGCGAUCAGUAGCCGGCUCGAGAGAGUGGACGGCCACAUUGGGACUGAGACACGGCCCAGACUCCUACGGGAGGCAGCAG